rnacentral:rRNA from 1 species
UAAGGAAUAUUGGUCAAUGGAGGAAACUCUGAACCAGCCAUGCCGCGUGGAGGAUGAAGGUCCUCUGGAUUGUAAACUUCUUUUAUACGGGACGAAAAAACGAUUUUCUAAUCGGACUGACGGUACCGUAUGAAUAAGCACCGGCUAACUCCGUGCCAGCAGCCGCGGUAAUACGGAGGGUGCAAGCGUUAUCCGGAUUCACUGGGUUUAAAGGGUGCGUAGGUGGACUGGUAAGUCAGUGGUGAAAUCUUCCCGCUUAACGGGAAAACUGCCAUUGAUACUAUUGGUCUUGAAUAUUGCGGAGGUCAGCGGAAUAUGUCAUGUAGCGGUGAAAUGCUUAGAUAUGACAUAGAACACCAAUUGCGAAGGCAGCUGACUACACAUAUAUUGACACUGAUGC